CCUACGGGGGGCAGCAGUGGGGAAUAUUGGACAAUGGGGGCAACCCUGAUCCAGCCAUGCCGCGUGUGUGAAGAAGGCCCUCGGGUUGUAAAGCACUUUCAGUGAGGAAGAACGCCUGGUGGUUAAUACCCAUCAGGAAAGACAUCACUCACAGAAGAAGCACCGGCUAACUCCGUGCCAGCAGCCGCGGUAAUACGGAGGGUGCGAGCGUUAAUCGGAAUUACUGGGCGUAAAGCGCGCGUAGGUGGCUUGAUAAGCCGGUUGUGAAAGCCCCGGGCUCAACCUGGGAACGGCAUCCGGAACUGUCAAGCUAGAGUGUAGGAGAGGAAGGUAGAAUUCCCGGUGUAGCGGUGAAAUGCGUAGAGAUCGGGAGGAAUACCAGUGGCGAAGGCGGCCUUCUGGACUGACACUGACACUGAGGUGCGAAAGCGUGGGUAGCAAACAGGAUUAGAUACCCGUGUAGUC
rnacentral:rRNA from 1 species